GACGAAGGAUGCAAGCGUUAUCCGGAUUCAUUGGGUUUAAAGGGAGCGUAGGUGGGUUUGUAAGUCAGUGGUGAAAUCUCGCAGCUUAACUGCGAAAUUGCCAUUGACACUGCAGACCUUGAGUACAGAUGCUGUGGGCGGAAUAUGACAUGUAGUGGUGAAAUACAUAGAGAUGUCAUAGAACACCGAUUGCGAAGGCAGCUCACAAAACUGUAACUGACACUGAGGCUCGAAAGUGCGGGGAUCAAACAGG
rnacentral:rRNA from 1 species